CGCGCCCCGCCUCAGCCCCGCACCUGCCGCCCGCCGCGCGGGGCUCCAUGGAGGCGGCGGCCCCGGCUGCAGCCGCUGUGGUACGAGAGGGAGGCCGGAGCCGAGGGCGGCCGCUGCUGGUAGUGCUGCUACUGCGGGUACUGCUCCUGCUGCUGCUGCUCCCCGGCGCGGGCGGCCGCCGCAGGCAGCUCGCAUGGUGUGGAGCAGCAGCGGGCGGGAGGCUCGGCGCAUGUUCGGGCAGGGCCGGGCCGGGCCCGCCGGGGCCGCCUCCGCAGGUCCUGCCAGUUCAAUGUGUCUCAAUUUUGCACAAGAAGAAUUGUGUUCUGAACAAGAAAUGGCAAUGCAGCUGUUACUGAUAGCCCAUCACGUGAUCAGUUCCUGAUGGGAACGAAUAACAGGGAAGAUGGAAAGUUCCUUCACAUCUUUCUGGGAUGUAACAGAUACAAGCCAAAAUUCUUUGAGAGGCUUCCCACAAAAAUUCCAAACUAGGAAUUCUCAUGCUUCACUAUCAAUAUAUAAACAAAAAAGUA